ensembl:snRNA LOC120093309 U6 spliceosomal RNA
UCACUUUAGCAAUGCAUAUGUUAAAAUUGGACACAAAGAAUUAGCACGACCCUUGCCCAAGGAUGGCACACAAAUACAUGAAAUGUUCACCUUUGUU